CGAAAUUUUGUGAAAGAUGGGUUGAAAGCACUGAUUCUUUUGAUGUGGGAACGCAUAGAAUUUGUCAAAUAAAGAAGGCGUGAUGUCUUGAAAAAACAUGGUGCUGAGACUAGAACAUAGCGUCGUUUUCGAAGAUAUGGCAAAACAGUUGCUCAUAUGACUCGAUGGAAAAAUGAGGUUAUGGCGUUUUCUUCGCCACUUUAAGAAAGACGUAUUUUAUGCUCGGGCUGAUAUAACUCCUUGAUUUAUUGACUAUAUUUAUAUUGUAUGGUUAUGGAGUUGUGUGCUCCAAUAAAAAGUUGAUCAAAGAAA